rnacentral:rRNA from 1 species
AUUGAACGCUGGCGGCAGGCCUAACACAUGCAAGUCGAACGGUAACAGGAAGAAGCUUGCUUCUUUGCUGACGAGUGGCGGACGGGUGAGUAAUGUCUGGGAAACUGCUUGAUGGAGGGGGAUAACUACUGGAAACGGUAGCUAAUACCGCAUAACGUCGCAAGACCAAAGAGGGGGACCUUCGGGCCUCUUGCCAUCGGAUUUGCCCAGAUGGGAUUAGCUAGUAGGUGGGGUAACGGCUCACCUAGGCGACGAUCCCUAGCUGGUCUGAGAGGAUGACCAGCCACACUGGAACUGAGACACGGUCCAGACUCCUACGGGAGGCAGCAGUGGGGAAUAUUGCACAAUGGGCGCAAGCCUGAUGCAGCCAUGCCGCGUGUAUGAAGAAGGCCUUCGGGUUGUAAAGUACUUUCAGCGGGGAGGAAGGGAGUAAAGUUAAUACCUUUGCUCAUGGACGUUACCCGCAGAAGAAGCACCGGCUAACUCCGU